AUUGAACGCUGGCGGCAGGCCUAACACAUGCAAGUCGAACGAGUGGCGGACGGGUGAGUAAUUUCUGGGAAACUGCCUGAUGGAGGGGGAUAACGACUGGAAACGGUAGCUAAUACCGCAUACCAUCAGAUGUGCCCAGAUGGGAUGAGAUAGUGGGUGGGGUAACGGCUAACCAAGGCGACAAUCCCUAGCAGGGCUGAGAGGAUGACCAGCCACACUGGAACUGAGACACGGUCCAGACUCCUACGGGAGGCAGCAGUGGUGAAUAUUGCACAAUGGGCGCAAGCCUGAUGCAGCCAUGCCGCGUUUAUGAAGAAGGCCUUCGGGUUGUAAAGUACUUUCAGCGGGGAGGCGUUACCCGCAGAAGAAGCACCGGCUAACUCCGUGCCAGCAGCCGCGGUAAUUC
rnacentral:rRNA from 1 species